rnacentral:rRNA from 1 species
CUUCCGUAGGGGGAACCUGCGGAAGGAUCAUUACCGAGUGCGGGUCCUUUGGGCCCAACCUCCCAUCCGUGUCUAUUGUACCCUGUUGCUUCGGCGGGCCCGCCGCUUGUCGGCCGCCGGGGGGGCGCCUCUGCCCCCCGGGCCCGUGCCCGCCGGAGACCCCAACACGAACACUGUCUGAAAGCGUGCAGUCUGAGUUGAUUGAAUGCAAUCAGUUAAAACUUUCAACAAUGGAUCUCUUGGUUCCGGCAUCGAUGAAGAACGCAGCGAAAUGCGAUAACUAAUGUGAAUUGCAGAAUUCAGUGAAUCAUCGAGUCUUUGAACGCACAUUGCGCCCCCUGGUAUUCCGGGGGGCAUGCCUGUCCGAGCGUCAUUGCUGCCCUCAAGCCCGGCUUGUGUGUUGGGUCGCCGUCCCCCUCUCCGGGGGGACGGGCCCGAAAGGCAGCGGCGGCACCGCGUCCGAUCCUCGAGCGUAUGGGGCUUUGUCACAUGCUCUGUAGGAUUGGCCGGCGCCUGCCGACGUUUUCCAACCAUUCUUUCCAGGUUGACCUCGGAUCAGGUAGUUGGAUACCCGCUGAACUUAAGCAUAUCAAUAAGCGGAGGAA